rnacentral:misc_RNA from 1 species
UACGUAGGGUGCAAGCGUUGUCCGGAAUUAUUGGGCGUAAAGUGCUCGUAGGCGGUCUGUCGCGUCUGCUGUGAAAACCCGAGGCUCAACCUCUGGCCUGCAGUGGGUACGGGCAGACUAGAGUGCGGUAGGGGAGAUUGGAAUUCCUGGUGUAGCGGUGGAAUGCGCAGAUAUCAGGAGGAACACCGAUGGCGAAGGCAGAUCUCUGGGCCGUAACUGACGCUGAGGCGCGAAAGCGUGGGGAGCGAACAGG